rnacentral:rRNA from 1 species
UACGAAGGGGGCUAGCGUUGCUCGGAAUCACUGGGCGUAAAGCGCACGUAGGCGGCUUUCUAAGUCAGGGGUGAAAUCCUGGAGCUCAACUCCAGAACUGCCUUUGAUACUGGAGAGCUAGAGUCCGGAAGAGGUGAGUGGAACUGCGAGUGUAGAGGUGAAAUUCGUAGAUAUUCGCAAGAACACCAGUGGCGAAGGCGGCUCACUGGCCCGUUACUGACGCUGAGGCGCGAAAGCGUGGGGAGCAAACAGG